CCUACGGGAGGCUGCAGUGAGGAAUAUUGGUCAAUGGACGAGAGUCUGAACCAGCCAAGUAGCGUGAAGGAUGACUGCCCUAUGGGUUGUAAACUUCUUUUAUAAAGGAAUAAAACGAGGCACGUGUGCCUUUUUGCAUGUACUUUAUGAAUAAGGAUCGGCUAACUCCGUGCCAGCAGCCGCGGUAAUACGGAGGAUCCGAGCGUUAUCCGGAUUUAUUGGGUUUAAAGGGAGCGUAGAUGGGUUGUUAAGUCAGUUGUGAAAGUUUGCGGCUCAACCGUAAAAUUGCAAUUGAUACUGGCAGUCGUGAGUACAGUUGAGGUAAGCGGAAUUCGUGGUGUAGCGGUGAAAUGCUUAGAUAUCACGAAGAACCCCGAUUGCGAAGGCAGCUUACUAAACUGUGACUGACAUUGAUGCUCGAAAGUGUGGGUAUCAAACAGGAUUAGAUACCCGGGUAGUC
rnacentral:rRNA from 1 species